UCGAACGAGGUGCUUUUGUAGCAAUACGAAAGUAUCCUAGUGGCGAACGGGUGAGUAACGCGUUGGUGACCUACCCCAAAGUGUGGAAUAACAGUCCGAAAGGAUUGCUAAUACCGCAUGUGGUCCUCAGGUUUAGAAACUGAUGACUAAAGGAGCAAUUCGCUUUGGGAGGGACCUGCGUCCCAUCAGCUAGUUGGUGAGGUAAUGGCUCACCAAGGCUACGACGGGUAGGGGACCUGAGAGGGUGACCCCCCACAAUGGAACUGAAACACGGUCCAUACACCUACGGGUGGCAGCAGUAGGGAAUAUUGCACAAUGGGCGAAAGCCUGAUACAGCAACGCCGCGUGUGCGAUGAAGGCCUUCGGGUCGUAAAGCACUUUUCUGGGAGAUGAGAAAGGACAGUAUCUCAGGAAUAAGUCUCGGCUAACUACGUGCCAGCAGCCGCGGUAAAACGUAGGAGGCAAGCGUUAUCCGGAUUCACUGGGCGUAAAGCGCGUGCAGGUGGCUUGGUAAGUUAGGCGUGAAAUCUCCCGGCUCAACUGGGAGAGGUCGUCUAAUACUACCAGGCUUGAGAGCAGAAGAGGAAGAUGGAAUUCCCGGUGUAGUGGUGAAAUGCGUAGAUAUCGGGAGGAACACCAGUGGCGAAGGCGAUCUUCUGGUCUGUUUCUGACACUCAGACGCGACAGCUAGGGUAGUAAACGGGAUUAGAGACCCCGGUAAUCCUAGCCGUAAACGAUGUGAACUUGGCGUUGGUGGGUUAAACUCCAUCAGUGCCGAAGCAAACGCGAUAAGUUCACC
rnacentral:rRNA from 1 species